rnacentral:lncRNA from 1 species
AGCCCGGCAUGGUGGCGUGCACCUGUAAUCCCAGCUACUUAGGAGGCUGAGGCAGGAGAAUAGCUUGAACCGGGGAGGUGGAGGUUGCAGUGAACCGAGACUGCACCAUUGCACACCAGCCUGGGCGACAGAGCGAGACUCCAUCUCAAAAAAAAAAAAAAAAGAAGAUUAAAGUGGGAGGAAUCACUGCCUAAUUUCAAGAAUACAGCUAUAGUAAUUAUGACUGUGGGGUAUUGGUGGAUGGAAAGACACAUCAAUCAAUGGAAGACAAUAGAGGACCCAGAAAUACCCCAUGCAAUACAGUGGAGGAAGGAUAGUUUUGUCAACAAAUGGUACUGAAGCAAAUUGAUGUUCAUAGGAAAAAACAAAAAACAACUCCACAGAAAUUGGCUUUCUGUGAUCUGAUACAGCCUGCCUAGAAGCAGAAGUUCUGGCUGCCCAUCACACUGUUUUUAGUAAACCUAGAGUUUUAUUUGAAAUAUUGAGUCUGGCCCAGGCGCGGUGGCUCACGCCUGUAAUCCCAGCACUUUGGGAGGCCGAGGCAGGUGGAUCAUGCGGUCAGGAGAUCGAGACCAUCCUGGCUAACACGGUGAAACACCCUCUCUACUAAAAAUACAAAAAAUUAGCCAAGUGUGGUGGCGGGCGCCUGUAGUCCCAGCUACUUGGGAGGCUGAGGCAGGAGAAUCACUUGAACCCGGGAGGCGGAGGGUGCAGUGAGCCAAGAUCGUACCACUGCACUCCAGCCUGGAUAACAGAGCAAGAUUCUGUUAAAAAAAAAAAAUUAUAAAAGAUGGAAAAGAUGGAGAGCCACCAAGGAAGCAAUAAUUCUGCAUCUAGACUGCCUUCAGACUUGUUCAGACUUGAACUGCAACAUCAACUCUUCCCUGGGUCUUUAGCUUGCUGGCCAGUUCUGCAGAUUCAGAUUUGCCAGCCCCCACAAUAAGACAAUUCCUUUAAUUGCCUUAGUUCUGAUGAAUACAGAGAUCUAGGCUGGGUGCAGCGGCUCAUGCUUGUAAUCCUAGCACUUUGGGAGGCUGAGACAGGCGGAUCACUUGAGGCCAGGAGUCCAAGACCAGCCUGACCAACAUGACAAUACCCCAUCUCUGCUAAAAAUACAAAAAAAUUAGCCAGAUAUGGUGGCAUGCAACUGUAAUCCCAGCUAUUCUUGAGGCUGAGGUACAAGAAUCAUUUGAACCCAGGAGGCAGAGGUUGCAUGAAUGCUGCUGAAAAAAAAAAAAAGUAAAAUAAAAAUGUAAAAGUGACCAUUAAAAAAAAAAGCAACCAACCUAAACCUCAUGCCUUAUACAAAAAUUAACUUAAAAUGGAACAGGUUUAAAUGUAAACUGUAAAGUUAUAAGAUGUUUAGAAGACAAGAUAGAAGAAAAUCAUCAGGACCUAGGAGUCUUUCCCCAGGGCUCAGGGAAAAGUUCUCAGACAUGAUGCCAAAAGCAAGAACCAUAAAAGAAAAAAUAUAUACAUAAUUGGACUUCAUCAAAAUUACAAACUUUUGCUCUGUGAAAGACCCCAUUAAGAGGAUGAAAAGACAAACUACAAAGUGAGAGAAAAUAUUUGCAAACCAUAUAUCUGACAAAGGACUUAUAUUUAGAAUAUAUAUAAAGAACACUCAAGGCCGGGCAUUGUGGCUCACUCCUGUAAUACCAGCACAUUGGGAGGCCAAGGCAGGCAGAUCACUUGAGGCCGGGAGUUUGAGACCAGCCUGGCCAAUAUGGUAAAACCCAAUCUCUGCUAAAAAUACAAAAAUUAGCUGGGCACGGUUGUGCAUGCCUGUAAUCCCAGCUAUUCAAGAGGCUGAGGCACGAGAAUCACCUGAACCCAGGAGGCAGAGGUUGCAGGGAGCCGAGAUUGCACCACUGCACUCCAGCCUGGGCUACAGAGCUAGACUCUGUCUCAAAAAAAAAAAAAAAAAAAAAGGUUGGGCGUGGUGGCUCAGGCCUG